rnacentral:rRNA from 1 species
UUGCCUACGGGGCGCAGCAGUGGGGAAUAUUGCACAAUGGGGGAAACCCUGAUGCAGCGACGCCGCGUGGGUGAAGAAGUAUUUCGGUAUGUAAAGUCCUAUCAGCAGGGAAGAAAAAAAUGACGGUACCUGACUAAGAAGCACCGGCUAAAUACGUGCCAGCAGCCGCGGUAAUACGUAUGGUGCAAGCGUUAUCCGGAUUUACUGGGCGUAAAGGGAGCGCAGGCGGCGCGACAAGUCUGAUGUGAAACCCCGGGGCUC